rnacentral:rRNA from 1 species
UACGGAGGGCGCAAGCGUUGUUCGGAAUCAUUGGGCGUAAAGCGCGUGUAGGCGGCUUGGCAAGUCGGGUGUGAAAUCCCGGGGCUCAACCCCGGAACUGCAUUCGAUACUGUCUCGCUAGAGUCCCGGAGAGGAAGGCGGAAUUCCCGGUGUAGAGGUGAAAUUCGUAGAUAUCGGGAGGAACACCAGUGGCGAAGGCGGCCUUCUGGACGGUGACUGACGAUGAGAUGCGAAAGCGUGGGGAGCAAACAGG